rnacentral:rRNA from 1 species
AACGAACGCUGGCAGCAGGCUUAACACAUGCAAUUCGAGCGCCCCGCAAGGGGAGCGGCAGACGGGUGAGUAACGCGUGGGAAUCUACCCAUCUCUACGGAAUAACGCAUGGAAACGUGUGCUAAUACCGUAUACGUCCUUCGGGAGAAAGAUUUAUCGGAGCUGGAUGAGCCCGCGUUGGAUUAGCUAGUUGGUGGGGUAAAGGCCUACCAAGGCGACGAGCCAUAGCUGGUCUGAGAGGAUGAUCAGCCACACUGGGACUGAGACACGGCCCAGACUCCUACGGGAGGCAGCAGUGGGGAAUAUUGGACAAUGGGCGCAAGCCUGAUCCAGCCAUGCCGCGUGAGUGAUGAAGGCCCUAGGGUUGUAAAGCUCUUUCACCGGUGAAGAUAAUGACGGUAACCGGAGAAGAAGCCCCGGCUAACUUCGUGCCAGCAGCCGCAGUAA